rnacentral:piRNA from 1 species
UAGAAGUGUCAUGUCAUAUUCCUCUGUGU